CGCCGCGUGGAGGAUGAAGCCCUUGGGUGUAAACUCCUUCGACUGGGAAGAUUAUGACGGUACCAGGUCGGAAGAAGCACCGGCUAACUCUGUGC
rnacentral:rRNA from 1 species